rnacentral:rRNA from 1 species
GAGACAGGUAUCUGAGCUGUCUCCGUCCCGGUGCUGGAAGGUUAAGGGGAUCUGUUAGAGCAAUAGAAGCAGUGAACUUAAGCCCCAGUAAACGGCGGCCGUAACUAUAACGGUCCUAAGGUAGCGACAUUCCUUGUCGGGUAAGUUCCGACCCGCACGAAAGGCGUAACGAUUUGGGCACUGUCUCAACAACAGACUCGGUGAAAUUGUACUUCCGGUGAAGGUUCCGGCUACCACCGACCGAACGGGAAGACCACAUGGAGCAUUACUGGAGCGUGACCUGUGGCCUUGGUUCUCCAUGUCCGGGAACUGGGGGAGGUCUUGAAACCAG